GUGGAACUCCAUGUGUAGCGGUGGAAUGCGUAGAUAUAUGGAAGAACACCAGUGGCGAAGGCGGCUGUCUAGUCUGUAACUGACGCUGAGGCUCGAAAGCAUGGGUAGCGAACAGGAUUAGAUACCCUGGUAGUCCAUGCCGUAAACGAUGAGUGCUAAGUGUUGGAGGGUUUCCCCCUUCAGUGCUGCAGCUAACGCAUUAAGCACUCCGCCUGGGGAAUACGACCGCAAGGUUGAAACUCAAAGGAAUUGACGGGGGCCCGCACAAGCGGUGGAGCAUGUGGUUUAAUUCGAAGCUACGCGAAGAACCUUACCAGGUCUUGACAUCUUCUGCCAAUCUUAGAGAUAAGACGUUCCCUUCGGGGACAGAAUGACAGGUGGUGCAUGGUUGUCGUCAGCUCGUGUCGUGAGAUGUUGGGUUAAGUCCCGCAACGAGCGCAACCCUUAUUAUCAGUUGCCAGCAUUCAGUUGGGCACUCUGGUGAGACUGCCGGUGACAAACCGGAGGAAGGUGGGGAUGACGUCAAAUCAUCAUGCCCCUUAUGACCUGGGCUACACACGUGCUACAAUGGACGGUACAACGAGUCGCGAAGUCGUGAGGCUAAGCUAAUCUCUUAAAGCCGUUCUCAGUUCGGAUUGUAGGCUGCAACUCGCCUACAUGAAGUUGGAAUCGCUAGUAAUCGCGGAUCAGCAUGCCGCGGUGAAUACGUUCCCGGGCCUUGUACACACCGCCCGUCACACCAUGAGAGUUUGUAACACCCAAAGCCGGUGAGAUAACCUUCGGGAGUCAGCCGUCUAAGGUGGGACAGAUGAUUAGGGUGAAGUCGUAACAAGGUAACCAAGGGCGAAUCG
rnacentral:rRNA from 1 species